rnacentral:misc_RNA from 1 species
GUAAGAAAAGCAUAUCAAACCUAAUUAAAACAAUGAUUUAUUUUUUGCUCAAAAAUCGAAUUUUUUUUUGGUUUUUCAAGAGUAAUCUCACGUAUAAUCAGCUCAGGAAUUCAAAUCUGAAAGCCGAAAUCAUCUACUCAUGCAAUCGAUCGAGUAAUCAUCAAUUAUUCGCUGCUGGUAGCAGAAAAAUUACAAGACAUGUCGAUUGGUUUUAGUCGUAGACCCACUUUGAUUCGUCGCAUGGGUCGAAAUAUUCGAAUUCCUCGAUCUACCAGCGAGCCCGAGCUUUGCUGGAGUCAGGUAGCCAGCAACGUAGCGCUUUGUUGUGAGACGUCACCUUCGGGACUGUGCAGAGGUGACGCCCCACAACAAACCGCGCGCCCGCGGCGCAGCUAUAAUGUGGCAAUGAAGCUUUAUAUAAUGAAAUAAAAUUGAAUAACGAGUGAAAAAAUUAUGGAAAUCGUAAAAAAAAAAUCCCCAACUCGCAGGCAAGAGGGGCCAUGGUAUAUAUAGCUUGCGGUGAAGUAACUAAUUGUUGGCUUGGAAAGUACGAUGAUAUAAUAUACUCUACUCAUGAAUACAUAUGGAGGGAAAAAGAGGAAUUCGUUGGCGUUUCGUUGGUCGGAAGAUUUGAGCAGGCGUACCGUCAGGGGCGCUGUUGUUUGGGGGUUGAUAGGGGGAUGAGAAAAGUCUGAGAGAGAAGGCGCGAGUAGGAGAGAGAUAGAGAGGGAGACGGGCGGGAGGGAAGGAGGGAGGAAGAGAGGAUGAUAGAAAUGAGAGAAAAGAGAGAAGAGGAGGCGAAGGUCGGGGGUUGCAGGGGUAGACGUCCGGGGGUGGAAAACCUGGAGGGCGGAGGUUCAGAGGUUGGCUGCUCUCCGCAGUCAGUGUGGCCCGAACAACCGGUGUAACCUUAUCGCGUGAUACUCGGGCCGUACGUCUCCUAAAAAAACGCACACAGACACGUAUAUACAUCUAUACGACGCAAAAUAAUAUCAGAUAAUAUAAUAUAACGUACAUGUAUUUCAAAAGACAUUUUCCUUUUUUUUUGUUAAUAAUUUUGCUCAUCUGAUCCGCCAAUUCCCUUCCGUACACCUGUCCUGCUGCUUCCGCUGCUGCUGCUGCUGCUGCUGCUGCUGCUGAGAGCAACGGGAAUUCAUCCUAAAAAUAACCAUUCGGUUCAAAUAUGACUUUCGUUUGACACAAUUUGAAAAAUCCAACGUUAACAAAAACAUACGUAUGACAACAAUAAUAAAAACAAUAAUUGUUACCAUUGCAAUAACAUCUCGAGAGUUAAAAUUUU